GCUGACGAGUGGCGGACGGGUGAGUAAUGUCUGGGAAACUGCCUGAUGGAGGGGGAUAACUACUGGAAACGGUGGCUAAUACCGCAUAACGUCGCAAGACCAAAGAGGGGGACCUUCGGGCCUCUUGCCAUCAGAUGUGCCCAGAUGGGAUUAGCUUGUUGGUGAGGUAACGGCUCACCAAGGCGACGAUCCCUAGCUGGUCUGAGAGGAUGACCAGCCACACUGGAACUGAGACACGGUCCAGACUCCUACGGGAGGCAGCAGUGGGGAAUAUUGCACAAUGGGCGCAAGCCUGAUGCAGCCAUGCCGCGUGUAUGAAGAAGGCCUUCGGGUUGUAAAGUACUUUCAGCGGGGAGGAAGGUGUUGUGGUUAAUAACCGCAGCAAUUGACGUUACCCGCAGAAGAAGCACCGGCUAACUCCGUGCCAGCAGCCGCGGUAAUACGGAGGGUGCAAGCGUUAAUCGGAAUUACUGGGCGUAAAGCGCACGCAGGCGGUCUGUCAAGUCGGAUGUGAAAUCCCCGGGCUCAACCUGGGAACUGCAUUCGAAACUGGCAGGCUUGAGUCUUGUAGAGGGGGGUAGAAUUCCAGGUGUAGCGGUGAAAUGCGUAGAGAUCUGGAGGAAUACCGGUGGCGAAGGCGGCCCCCUGGACAAAGACUGACGCUCAGGUGCGAAAGCGUGGGGAGCAAACAGGAUUAGAUACCCUGGUAGUCCACGCCGUAAACGAUGUCUACUUGGAGGUUGUGCCCUUGAGGCGUGGCUUCCGGAGCUAACGCGUUAAGUAGACCGCCUGGGGAGUACGGCCGCAAGGUUAAAACUCAAAUGAAUUGACGGGGGCCCGCACAAGCGGUGGAGCAUGUGGUUUAAUUCGAUGCAACGCGAAGAACCUUACCUGGUCUUGACAUCCACAGAACUUUCCAGAGAUGGAUUGGUGCCUUCGGGAACUGUGAGACAGGUGCUGCAUGGCUGUCGUCAGCUCGUGUUGUGAAAUGUUGGGUUAAGUCCCGCAACGAGCGCAAC
rnacentral:rRNA from 3 species